rnacentral:rRNA from 1 species
UACGAAGGGGGCUAGCGUUGCUCGGAAUCACUGGGCGUAAAGCGCACGUAGGCGGCUUUUUAAGUCAGGGGUGAAAUCCUGGAGCUCAACUCCAGAACUGCCUUUGAUACUGGGAAGCUUGAGUCCGGAAGAGGUGAGUGGAAUUCCCAGUGUAGAGGUGAAAUUCGUAGAUAUUGGGAAGAACACCGGUGGCGAAGGCGGCUAUCUGGACUGUGAUUGACGCUGAGGCGCGAAAGCGUGGGGAGCAAACAGG